UACGUAGGGUCCGAGCGUUGUCCGGAAUUACUGGGCGUAAAGAGCUCGUAGGUGGUUUGUCACGUUGUUCGUGAAAACCCACAGCUCAACUGUGGGCGUGCGAGCGAUACGGGCAGACUAGAGUACUGCAGGGGAGACUGGAAUUCCUGGUGUAGCGGUGGAAUGCGCAGAUAUCAGGAGGAACACCGGUGGCGAAGGCGGGGUCUCUGGGCAGUAACUGACGCUGAGGAGCGAAAGCGUGGGGGAGCGAACAGG
rnacentral:rRNA from 1 species